AAAUAGUGAUGUUAGCAUUGGUUCUCACCUCUUCCCAUUCCGAACAGAGAAGUUAAACCCAAUAGCGCAGAUGGUACUGAUAUUUUUCGGGAGAGUAUGUCGUCGCUAUUU
rnacentral:rRNA from 1 species